rnacentral:rRNA from 1 species
CCUACGGGAGGCAGCAGUGAGGAAUAUUGGUCAAUGGCCGAGAGGCUGAACCAGCCAAGUCGCGUGAGGGAAGAAUGUCCUAUGGAUUGUAAACCUCUUUUGUCAGGGAACAAAGUCACCCACGUGUGGGUGUUGGAGAGUACCUGAAGAAAAAGCAUCGGCUAACUCCGUGCCAGCAGCCGCGGUAAUACGGAGGAUGCGAGCGUUAUCCGGAUUUAUUGGGUUUAAAGGGUGCGGAGGCGGUUUGUUAAGUCAGGGGUCAAAGGGCGGGGCAGAAACGUGGACCGCCGUUUAAAACUGGCAGUCUCGAGUUGGGGAGAAGUAUGCGGAAUGCGUGGUGUAGCGGUGAAAUGCAUAGAUAUCGCGCAGAACUCCGAUUGCGAAGGCAGCAUGCCGGCUCCACACUGACGCUGAGGCACGAAAGCGUGGGUAUCGAACAGGAUUAGAUACCCGGGUAGUC